GCUGAAGCGGUUCAGGAAAUAUGAGCUCAUACUGGAUCCAUUCAGUAACCAUGACACAUUGAGGAAAGUGGUGGCUAAACUGCACCCGCCAUAUAUCCCGUACCUGCCCCUCAUUUUAAAAGACCUAACAUUCAUAAAUGAAGGGUACAAAACAAGACAAGACAAUCUUGUCAACUUCGAGAAAAUGACAUUAUUUGCCAAAACCUUGAAGAUUGUGAAAGACUGCCGGAAUCAGCCCUACUUACCCAUUUCACCAGAAACUGGCCGUGCAAAGAAAGGCACUGGCCUUCACAACACACAGAAGCCCUCAGGU